rnacentral:rRNA from 1 species
GCCCGGGGCUCCACGCCCGGAAGUGCUGCUGAAACUGUUUGGCUUGAGUAUGGUAGAGGGAACCGGAAUUCCUGGUCUAACGGUGAAAUGCCGUAGAUAUCAGGAGGAACACCGGUGCCGAAGCCGGCUUCCCUGGACCGAUACUGACCCUGAGGCGCGAAGGCAUGGCUAGCAAACAGGACUAGAUACCCUGGUAGUCCACGCAGUUAACGGUGAUCACUAGAUGUUGCGGGUAUUGAUACUUGCAGUGCCGGAGCUAACGCAUGAAGUGAUCCGCCUGGGGAGUACGNCCGCAAGGUUGAAACUCAAAGGAAUUGACGGGGGCCCGCACAAGCGGUGGAGCAUGUAGUUUAAUUCGACGCUACGCGAAGAACCUUACCUGGGUUUGACAUCUGGGGGAUCCCAUGGAAACAUGGGGGUGCCCUUCGGGGAGCCCCAAGACAGGUGCUGCAUGGCUGUCGUCAGCUCGAGUCGUGAGAUGUUGGGUUAAGUCCCGCAACGAGCGCGACCCCUGUCUUCAGUUACCAGCGAUUCGAUCGGGGACUCUGAAGAUACUGCCCCGGUUAACGGGGAGGAAGGUGGGGAUGACGUCAAGUCCUCAUGGCCAUGAUGCCCAGGGCUACACAUGAGCCACAAUACACGGGACAGAAGGUAGCGAGAUCGCGAGAUGGAGCCAAUCCCCCAAAGCCGUCCUCAGUUCGGAUUGGAGUCUGCAACUCGACUCCAUGAAGUUGGAAUCGCUAGUAAUCGCGGAUCAGCAUGCCGCGGUGAAUACGUUCCCGGGCCUUGUACACACCGCCCGUCACACCAUGAGAGUUGGCUAUACCCGAAGUCGCCGGCCCAACCUGUAUGGGGGGGAG